rnacentral:rRNA from 1 species
CGGUCUGGUGGCAGUGGCGAACGGGUGAGUAAUGCAUCGGAACGUGCCAUUGAGUGGGGGAUAACGUACCGAAAGUUGCGCUAAUACCGCAUAUUCUGUGAGCAGGAAAGCAGGGGACCGCAAGGCCUUGCGCUCUUUGAGCGGCCGAUGUCAGAUUAGCUAGUUGGUGAGGCAAAGGCUUACCAAGGCGACGAUCUGUAGCGGGUCUGAGAGGAUGAUCCGCCACACUGGAACUGAGACACGGUCCAGACUCCUACGGGAGGCAGCAGUGGGGAAUUUUGGACAAUGGGGGCAACCCUGAUCCAGCCAUGCCGCGUGAGUGAAGAAGGCCUUCGGGUUGUAAAGCUCUUUCGGCCGGGAAGAAAUCGCAUGGGCCAAUACCCUGUGUGGAUGACGGUACCGGAAUAAGAAGCACCGGCUAACUACGUGCCAGCAGCCGCGGUAAUACGUAGGGUGCGAGCGUUAAUCGGAAUUACUGGGCGUAAAGCGUGCGCAGGCGGUUUUGUAAGACAGGCGUGAAAUCCCCGGGCUUAACCUGGGAACUGCGUUUGUGACUGCAAGGCUAGAGUACGGCAGAGGGGGGUGGAAUUCCACGUGUAGCAGUGAAAUGCGUAGAGAUGUGGAGGAACACCAAUGGCGAAGGCAGCCCCCUGGGUCGAUACUGACGCUCAUGCACGAAAGCGUGGGUAGCAAACAGGAUUAGAUACCCUGGUAGUCCACGCCCUAAACUAUGUCAACUAGGUGUUGGGUGGGUAACCAUUUAGUACCGUAGCUAACGCGUGAAGUUGACCGCCUGGGGAGUACGGCCGCAAGGUUAAAACUCAAAGGAAUUGACGGGGACCCGCACAAGCGGUGGAUGAUGUGGAUUAAUUCGAUGCAACGCGAAAAACCUUACCUACCCUUGACAUGCCAGGAACUUGCCAGAGAUGGCUUGGUGCCCGAAAGGGAGCCUGGACACAGGUGCUGCAUGGCUGUCGUCAGCUCGUGUCGUGAGAUGUUGGGUUAAGUCCCGCAACGAGCGCAACCCUUGUCGUUAAUUGCCAUCAUUUAGUUGGGCACUUUAACGAGACUGCCGGUGACAAACCGGAGGAAGGUGGGGAUGACGUCAAGUCCUCAUGGCCCUUAUGGGUAGGGCUUCACACGUCAUACAAUGGUCGGUACAAAGGGUUGCCAAGCCGCGAGGCGGAGCCAAUCCCAGAAAGCCGAUCGUAGUCCGGAUUGCAGGCUGCAACUCGCCUGCAUGAAGUCGGAAUCGCUAGUAAUCGUGGAUCAGCAUGUCACGGUGAAUACGUUCCCGGGUCUUGUACACAUUGCCCGUCACACCAUGGGAGCGGGUUCCGCCAGAAGUAGGUAGCCUAACCGCAAGGGGGGCGCUUACCACGGCGGGGUUCGUGACUG